rnacentral:rRNA from 1 species
UACAGAGGGGGCAAGCGUUGUUCGGAAUUAUUGGGCGUAAAGAGCUCGUAGGCGGUUUGUCGCGUCUGCCGUGAAAGUCCGGGGCUCAACUCCGGAUCUGCGGUGGGUACGGGCAGACUAGAGUGAUGUAGGGGAGACUGGAAUUCCUGGUGUAGCGGUGAAAUGCGCAGAUAUCAGGAGGAACACCGAUGGCGAAGGCGGCAUCCUGGACCGACACUGACGCUGAGGAGCGAAAGCCAGGGGAGCAAACGGG